CCUACGGGAGGCAGCAGUCGGGAAUCUUGCGCAAUGGGCGAAAGCCUGACGCAGCAACACCGUGUGGGCGACGAAGGCCUUCGGGUCGUAAAGCCCUGUUGUUGGGGACGAAGGGCGAAGGGUUAAUAGCCCCUAGCCUGACGGUACCCUUCGAGGAAGCCCCGGCUAACUACGUGCCAGCAGCCGCGGUAAUACGUAGGGGGCGAGCGUUGUCCGGAAUUAUUGGGCGUAAAGAGCGUGUAGGCGGUUCGGUAAGUCUGCCGUGAAAACCUGGGGCUCAACCCCGGGCGUGCGGUGGAUACUGCCGGGCUAGAGGGUGGUAGAGGCGAGUGGAAUUCCCGGUGUAGCGGUGAAAUGCGCAGAUAUCGGGAGGAACACCAGUAGCGAAGGCGGCUCGCUGGGCCAUUCCUGACGCUGAGACGCGAAAGCUAGGGGAGCGAACAGGAUUAGAUACCCUGGUAGUCCUAGCCGUAAACGAUGAACACUAGGUGUGGGGGGGGAGUUGAAUCCCCCUGUGCCGAAGCCAACGCGUUAAGUGUUCCGCCUGGGGAGUACGGCCGCAAGGCUAAAACUCAAAAGAAUUGACGGGGGCCCGCACAAGCAGCGGAGCAUGUUCUUUAAUUCGAUGCAACGCGAAGAACCUUACCUGGGCUUGACAUGGUGCUGCAAGCGCACGGAAAUGUGUGACCUUCGAGGGUGCACCACAGAUGCUGCAUGGCUGUCGUCAGCUCGUGUCGUGAGAUGUUGGGUUAAGUCCCGCAACGAGCGCAACCCCCGUGGCGUGUUGCCAGCAUUAAGUUGGGGACUCACGCCAGACUGCCGGUGACAAACCGGAGGAAGGUGGGGAUGACGUCAGUCAUCAUAGCUUCUUACGUCCAGGCUAGAACGUGCUACAUGGCGUACACAAAGGGCAGCAAGACCGGCAAGGUGGAGCGAAUCUUCAUCAAGUACGUUCUAAGUUCGGAUCGGGUCUGCAACUCGACCCCGUGGAAGCGAAGUUGCUAGUAUCGCGGAUUCAGCAUGCCGCGUGAAUACGU
rnacentral:rRNA from 1 species